rnacentral:rRNA from 1 species
AACGAACGCUGGCGGCAUGCCUAACACAUGCAAGUCGAACGAGACCUUCGGGUCUAGUGGCGCACGGGUGCGUAACGCGUGGGAACCUGCCUUUAGGUUCGGAAUAACUCAGAGAAAUUUGAGCUAACACCGGAUGAUUUCUUCGAACAAAAGAUUGAUCGCCUUUAGAUGGGCCCGCGUUGGAUUAGCCAGUUGGUAGGGUAAGGGCCUACCAAGGCGUCGAUCCAUAGCUGGUCUGAGAGGAUGGUCAGCGACACUGGGACUCGGACACGGCCGAGACUCCUGCGGGAGGCAGCAGUGGGGAAUAUUGGACUAUGGGCGAAAGCCUGAUCCAGCACUGCCGCGUGAGUGAUGAAGGCGUUAGGGUUGUAAAGCUCUUUUACCCGAGAUGAUAAUGACAGUAUCGGGAGAAUAAGCACCGGCUAACUCCGUG